UUGUUAAUGCUAAUCGUGAUAGGGGUUUUACCUCUGACUGACUCCUACAUAUUAGCAUUAACAC
rfam:Mesitornis unicolor contig503, whole genome shotgun sequence.